rnacentral:tRNA from 1 species
UGGCAAUUAGUUUAAGCAAAACAAGUGAUUUCGACUCACUAGAUUAUGAACGCUCAUAACUGCCAA